UACGGAGGGAGCUAGCGUUGUUCGGAAUUACUGGGCGUAAAGCGCGCGUAGGCGGUUACUCAAGUCAGAGGUGAAAGCCCGGAGCUCAACUCCGGAACUGCCUUUGAAACUAGGUGACUAGAAUCUUGGAGAGGCGAGUGGAAUUCCGAGUGUAGAGGUGAAAUUCGUAGAUAUUCGGAAGAACACCAGUGGCGAAGGCGACUCCCUGGCCAAAGACUGACGCUCAUGUGCGAAAGUGUGGGUAGCGAACAGG
rnacentral:rRNA from 1 species